UUUGGCCAUAUAUAGAUAUCCUAAACUCUAGAAAAAGAGGAGACAUAUAUUAUUACGGAGGAUCAGAAGCGGCACAUCAUUCUUUGGGGACGAUCAGAACUUCGGGGACGAAUUAUAAAGCUUAUUUGCAAGGAAUAAGGGUCUAGAAUCAUUGGAGUGGAACAAAAAGUUUGGAGAGCAAGGAAUUUACGGGUUAAGACAAUGGCCUAAAACAGCAUACCAGACAAGAUGAUAGUGAAAACGAGGACUUUCCGGACGAAACGACAAAGCUGUGAACAUUCUGUGAAGUUUCUGACCUGGGCAAGUGGAACGGUCGU
rnacentral:lncRNA from 1 species